rnacentral:rRNA from 1 species
GACAGAGGGUGCAAACGUUGUUCGGAAUUACUGGGCGUAAAGCGCGUGUAGGCGGUCUGGUAAGUCGGGUGUGAAAGCCCGGGGCUCAACCCCGGAAGUGCAUUCGAUACUACCAAACUAGAGUACUGGAGAGGAUGGUGGAACUCUCGGUGUAGAGGUGAAAUUCGUAGAUAUCGAGAAGAACACCGGUGGCGAAGGCGGCCAUCUGGACAGAUACUGACGCUGAGACGCGAAAGCGUGGGGAGCAAAC